rnacentral:rRNA from 1 species
CCCUUAGACGUUCUGGGCCGCACGCGCGCUACACUGACCAGUGCAACAAGCAUCCGUCCUUGGCCGACAGGCCCGGGCAAUCUUUGAACGCUGGUCGUGAUGGGGAUAGACUUUUGCAAUUUUUGGUCUUCAACGAGGAAUUCCUAGUAAACGCAAGUCAUCAACUUGCAUUGAUUACGUCCCUGCCCUUUAUACACACCGCCCGUCGCACCUACCGAUUGAAUGGUCCGGUGAAGCCUCCGGAUUGGCGCGCACCUCGGUGCCGCCGAGAAGUUGGCUAAACCUUACCAUUUAGAGGAAGGUGAAGUCGUAACA